rnacentral:lncRNA from 1 species
CGUACCUUUCUCUUCCAGUAAACGAAGUCCCUUCCCUGGGUGUGCUGCCCCCCUUGGUAGGGUGUAGGGGACCUGGGAAGCAAAGCUCCAUGGCGCUCCACAGGCAUGGCUCCAGGGACCUGCAGAACCCUCUAGAGCCCCAGCACGUCGAGAGGAACGUGGUCAGGGGAAGUCUCCCAGCAGUGCUGAGAGAGUGGGAGAACGGUGGUGCGGCAGGCACCUUAAUCAUGGGACCGAACGGUGAGAUCAUCCGCCUGUCCGUUUGGCCCCCCGCUGAUGAUGUUAACAGUCACCAGCUGCUGAGCGACGUCAUACGAGAGCAAGGUGUGUGGCCCCACCGUGCGUCCGCAAGAGCACAGCAACGGAUAUCUAAGAUGCUAGGAAUGUGUUUGGCGGGUGUGAAGCUCUAAAUAUGAAUUUAAAUGCAGAGGUGGAAAGCAGAAGAGCAUAUACCUGUUCGCAACUGCAGUGGAAGGCUUCGGGGGACAAUCGUAGUUUUAGGGGCUUAAAAAUAACGUGAAAGAAAACUAAUGACCGGAACAUGAAUGGAGGGAGGACCCGAUCGGUCUUAAAACGAAGAAGUGAAACGCAAAACAAAGUCAAAAGAUUAAGUCCCCGCAGAAUUUUGGAUGUUGAAUAUAGGUGGGCGGAGUGCCGAACUUCUCGAAUGAGCGAAAACACUCAGCCAGAGUAAUCUUUGUAUUCCUGUCCUCAGCAUCGAGCGUCCCGGCCUCCGAAGUGGCCCUGGAUGCCCCCUGGAGCGUUGUGCUCCAGUCAAACUCAGGUCAGUGUCUCCUUGUCUCCUCCGUUGUGUCCUGGAGCCCCGCGUCCGGCAACGUGCUGGGCGGUCGCCGGUGUCAGCACCUGCGGGAAUCCACCGCUAUUCCGCCUCUGAGUAAAGGAGAAAAUGCAUGGCGAAGCACAGUAGAAGGGAAAAUGCACACAAAUUCGCCCAG